AGGAGAGGAUUCAGAGAUUCGGGAAUUAGGGAGGUUAAGAAGAAGGGAGGAUACAAGGUUUUUGAGUAGGGGUCAGAAAAGGAACUUCUGGCAAUCAAUGCUGAAAGGUCGAUGUGUUAGACUAGUGAAUCGGGGUUUUAAUGAAGUGGGUGUGAUUAUUCUUGAUUGUUUUGUGAAAUCGAAGUUACAUCUGUGAUUGAAGAAUUAAAAGGGUGUGUAUAGGAUUGAGUAUGCAGAGUGAAUUAAAAUUUUUGGGUUAA
rnacentral:lncRNA from 1 species